UGAUGUUCCAGGAAGGAUUAGCCAAAUGGCAAAUGAUUUAGGUAAGCUAGAAAAAUGGUCAGAAUUGUGGCAACUGACAUUUAAUGUGGAUAAGUGCAAGAUAAUGCAUCUUGGACGUAAAAACCCAAGGGCAGAGUACAGAAUAUUUGUUAGAGUCCUAACCUCAACAUAUGAAGAAAGGGACUUAGGGGUGAUUAUUUCUGAUGACUUAAAG
rnacentral:lncRNA from 1 species